rnacentral:misc_RNA from 1 species
GUGAAUCAUCAAAUUUUUGAACGCAAAUUGCGCUUCCUGGCAUCCCGGGGAGUAUGCCUGUUUGAGGGUCAGUAAUUACAAAAAAUCGGGUUGCUUGCAAAUUGUUACGUUUCCGGAGUUUGGGGUAUUGUAACUUUUUGGUUAAGGGGCGUAAAAUUGACCUUAUUUACGCAUUUUUAGAGUUA